rnacentral:misc_RNA from 1 species
AACUGAUACUACCUGCGGGAACCUGCGGAAGGAUCAUUACAAGUGACCCCGGUCUAACCACCGGGAUGUUCAUAACCCUUUGUUGUCCGACUCUGUUGCCUCCGGGGCGACCCUGCCUUCGGGCGGGGGCUCCGGGUGGACACUUCAAACUCUUGCGUAACUUUGCAGUCUGAGUAAACUUAAUUAAUAAAUUAAAACUUUCAACAACGGAUCUCU